rnacentral:misc_RNA from 1 species
GAUGAAGAACGUAGCGAAAUGCGAUAAGUAAUGUGAAUUGCAGAAUUCAGUGAAUCAUCGAAUCUUUGAACGCACAUUGCGCCCGCCAGUAUUCAGGCGGGCAUGCCUGUUCGAGCGUCAUUUCAACCCUCAAGCCCCCGGGCUUGGUGUUGGGGAUCGGCGUGCCCUCGCGGCGCGCCGUCCCCUAAAUCUAGUGGCGGUCUCGCUGUAGCUUCCUCUGCGUAGUAGCAACACUCGCACUGGAUCGCAGCGCGGCCACGCCGUUAAACCCCCCACUUCUGAAAGUUUGACCUCGGAUCAGGUAGGAAUACCCGCUGAACUUAAGCAUAUCAAUAAGCGGAGGA